GUUAUACUGGGACGCGCUGCUGGUGCGGGGCUGCGGGAGGACGGAUUUCCAACAGGGUAUGCUGGGAAUACUGGGAUAUACUGGGUUAUACUGGGUUAUACUGGGUUAUACUGGGAUGUACUGGGUUAUACUGGGACGCGCUGCUGGUGCGGGGCUGCGGACGGACCGACUUCCAACAGGGUAUACUGGGAUAUACUGGGUUAUACUGGGUUAUACUGGGAGAGACUGGGAGAGACUGGGUUAUGUUGGUUAUACUGGGUUAUACUGGGAUAUAUUGGUUAUACUGGGUUAUACUGGGAUAUGUUGGUUAUACUGGGUUAUACUGGGACACGCUGCUGGUGCGGGGCUGCGGACGGACCGAUUUCCAGCAGGGUAUAAUGGGUUAUACUGGGAUAUACUGGGAGAGACUGGGAGAGACUGGGUUAUGUUGGUUAUACUGGGUUAUAGUGGGUUAUAUUGGUUUAUAUUUGUUAUACUGGGAUGUACUGGGUUAUACUGGGACGCGCUGCUGGUGCGGGGCUGCGGGAGAACCGACUUCCAACAGGGUAUAAUGGGAUAUACUGGGGUAUACUGGGAUGUACUGGGUUAUACUGGGAUAUACUGGGAGAGACUGGGUUAUACUGGGACGCGCUGCUGGUGCGGGGCUGCGGACGGACCGACUUCCAACAGGGUAUACUGGUUAUACUGGUUUAUACUGGGUUAUAUUGGUUUAUAUUGGUUAUACUGGGUUAUACUGGGAUGUACUGGGUUAUACUGGGUUAUAUUGGGAUAUAUUGGUUUAUAUUGGUUUAUAUUGGUUUAUACUGGGUUAUACUGGGUUAUACUGGGACGCGCUGCUGGUGCGGGGCUGCGGACGGACGGAUUUCCAGCAGGGUAUAAUGGGAAUAUACUGGGAUAUACUGGGAUAUACUGGGUUAUACUGGGAGUGACUGGGUUAUAGUGGUUUAUACUGGGAUAUACUGGGAUGUACUGGGUUAUACUGGGUUAUACUGGGUUAUACUGGGUUAUACUGGGACGCGCUGCUGGUGCGGGGCUGCGGGAGAACCGAUUUCCAGCAGGGUAAUGGGAAUAUACUGGUUAUACUGGUUAUACUGGGUUAUACAGGGAUAUAUUGGGUUAUAGUGGUUUAUACUGGGAUGUACUGGGUUAUACUGGGUUAUACUGGGACGCGCUGCUGGUGCAGGGCUGCGGGCGGACCGACUUCCAGCAGGGUAAUGGGAUAUACUGGGAAUACUGGUUUAUACUGGGUUAUACUGGGUUAUAUUGGUUUAUAUUGGUUUAUA
rnacentral:lncRNA from 1 species